AGUGAACGCUGGCGGUAGGCCUAACACAUGCAAGUCGAACGGCAGCACAGUAAGAGCUUGCUCUUACGGGUGGCGAGUGGCGGACGGGUGAGGAAUACAUCGGAAUCUACUUUUUCGUGGGGGAUAACGUAGGGAAACUUACGCUAAUACCGCAUACGACCUACGGGUGAAAGCAGGGGAUCUUCGGACCUUUCGCGAUUGAAUGAGCCGAUGUCGGAUUAGCUAGUUGGCGGGGUAAAGGCCCACCAAGGCGACGAUCCGUAGCUGGUCUGAGAGGAUGAUCAGCCACACUGGAACUGAGACACGGUCCAGACUCCUACGGGAGGCAGCAGUGGGGAAUAUUGGACAAUGGGCGCAAGCCUGAUACAGCCAUACCGCGUGGGUGAAGAAGGCCUUCGGGUUGUAAAGCCCUUUUGUUGGGAAAGAAAAGCAGCAGGUUAAUACCCCGCUGUUCUGACGGUACCCAAAGAAUAAGCACCGGCUAACUUCGUG
rnacentral:rRNA from 1 species